GUUCUUCAAGUUCAUCAUUAUUAAGACAUGGUGUUAAAAAAACAAGAUAUGUGACGCAAAGAACGAGAAACAUUUUAAUAGUUAUUAUUAAAAUGUAUUAUUAAAACCCGAUAAAACUGACAAAAGUCAGAUAUUUCAGGGUUAUCGUCAGAUGGAGUAUCUGUAUCAUCAUCUGCAUUGAUUCGUUUGAACAAGUCAGAAUUAUUUAAUCGUCAAUAGAUCGAAAUUUCGAAGGAAAAGUCAUCUAUUGAUACAACUUCUGCAAGUUCUAAUUUUGCUAUUAUUAAUUAAAAUGUCUUUGCGUAUUGGUAAGAAACACGU